rnacentral:rRNA from 1 species
GUAGGUGGCAAGCGUUGUCCGGAAUUAUUGGGCGUAAAGCGCGCGCAGGCGGUUCUUUAAGUCUGAUGUGAAAGCCCACGGCUCAACCGUGGAGGGUCAUUGGAAACUGGAGAACUUGAGUACAGAAGAGGAAAGCGGAAUUCCACGUGUAGCGGUGAAAUGCGUAGAGAUGUGGAGGAACACCAGUGGCGAAGGCGGCUUUCUGGUCUGUAACUGCCGCUGAGGCGCGAAAGCGUGGGGAGCAAACAGGAUUAGAUACCCUGGUAGUCCACGCCGUAAACGAUGAGUGCUAAGUGUUAGGGGGUUUCCGCCCCCCUUAGUGCUGCAGCUAACGCAUUAAGCACUCCGCCUGGGAGUACGGCCGCAAGGCUG